UACGGGGGGGGCAAGCGUUGUUCGGAAUUACUGGGCGUAAAGGGUUUGUAGGUGGUCUGUUAAGUCAGACGUGAAAUCCCUCAGCUUAACUGGGGAACUGCGUCUGAGACUGAUGGACUUGAGGGCAGGAGAGGAACGCGGAAUUCCAGGUGUAGCGGUGAAAUGCGUAGAUAUCUGGAGGAACAUCGGUGGCGAAGGCGGCAUCCUGGACCGGUAUUGACGCUGAGGCGCGAAAGCCAGGGGAGCAAACGGG
rnacentral:rRNA from 1 species